rnacentral:lncRNA from 1 species
UUAGAUUAUUACCAGCAGGUUCUUUGGGGCGAGGUUGGAAUAUUUUUGGGACAUGUUGUGUUAUGGUGAGGAAAUGUACCACUUUUAAGUCAACAUCUCAUUCCAAUCAACUUUUAAGGCGAUGAAUUAAUCAAUUUUUAUCAACAGGUAAAAAAGUAACCAUAAAAUUUAAAAUUUGUCAAGCCUUAUAUUUGUGUAUAUUUAUCACUUUACUACGCAGACAAAGAGAACCAGCUCUGUGCUCAUCUUUUGGGCGGUCGUCCUUGUGGUCUUUUUCCUUUCGGUCGUCCAUACGUACAUAUUUUGGCCAAUCUCCUCUCAUCCAUUUCUGCCACAUGCUCCUUCCAUCUUUUCUUUCCUACUUUUGUCUAUUUUACUACAUCCUGUAUGUGACAUCUUUCUCUGAUAGCUGUGUUGGUCUGCCUAUCUCGCAGGGUCACAUUCAACAUAUUGUUUCUGCUGUCGGCUCGGUACCAUAUGUUAGUAUGGAUCGUACUAUGGCUUUAAAUAUUUUCAUUUUUCCAUAUAGUGUCCUUUAGACAGCUUGCUACUUGUAUGGCUCUUGUAACUUGUGCUUUCUUGCAUAGAUUUCGAUAACUUGUAAUUUUUACACCUAGAUAUUUAACAUGCAUAACUUGCUCUAUUAUAGAGUCUUCAACUUGUAGUUUGCAGCGUUUUGGUUUUUUGGAUAUUAUCACACAUUUUGUUUUCUCCGUUGAUAUUUUUAUAUUGUAUUGCUUAUUUAGUAAUUUAUGAUGUGUGUAAAUAAGUUGGCAACACUUUUCUACGACACAUCAUUGAUUUGAAAAUGUCAAAACGUUAACAUUGCGAAUAGAACAAAUAAUGUUUAUUUAAAUUUAUUUAAAAAAUUAACACGUCAAGAGUAAAUUUAAUGUAUUUAAAAAAUAAAUAAAUAAACAUUAUUUAAAACGAAAAAUAACAUAACCUCUUUUUAGUCGUUUCAAUGUCAUUUAAAAGUUAAACUUUUUUUCGUAAAAUAUAGAUGUUAAUGAGAAAACAGCAAUGUUUUCCACAGUGUGACCUAAUCUGAACCGUCAAGUUUAAUCGAUUUGGCGGUGUUGCACGUGCAUACGCGAUAGGGGAUUCGUCAAAUCUCGUACAGUGGUCCCCCCUACCCUCUGGUGGAUGUGGUAGAAUGAUUUUGGGGGACGUUGGUUGCCGGCAAGGGCGACCUCGAGCUGCUGCUGCCCGCAGCAUCCCCUUAUUGACCCGAUCCGCCACUGGCUAAUGGAUUUUGCACCCCCCUCUCGCGCGCAACUCACCUCUCGACAUCGAAAACGUCAACCAUCAAAAUGACAACGCAAAAAAUUCUUAGUGAAGAUAUUUAUCAUUUUUUUAUCACCUUUUAGUAUGGAACCAGACAAAUCUAAUAUUUCAAACGAAGAAGAAUUAAAUGAGAAAAUUGAAAUGAAUCAUAUUCAAGAUGACGAAAAAACGGAAGAUGAAAAAUCUAGUUUAACAUCGUUACAAGAAAAAUUUAAGGUUCCUUUAAGAAAUACCAUUUUAUAUAAACUAAGAGCUAAAAUUAAUGCUGAAUUUAUGGUGUAUAUGUCGAUGGUUUUUUACAUAGUUUGUUUAAUAAUUUUAAUCGUAAUUACUUUGUAAAAACAUUAAUAAAUAAUUUAGAAGAAAAUUUUUGUUUUCAGGUCAAUAAUAAUUCGUUCUAGAAAAGGUGCGAAUGUUGCCAGGUUUGGAGGUCGUUGAAAGCGGCGAGGUCCCGGUGGUUCGUCUAGGGAGGAGGGUCUGCGGGGGAGAAUGGGGAGGUUGGGUGUUUUGUUAUCCUCUUUCUUCGAGAAAAUCAAUGUUUGAGAUGAAUUCGUCCUUAUCUCCAACACAGAGUUGCCGUCGCGUAUCUUAUGUUGGACGAACGGAGGACCUGAAUUUGCCCUCGCUAUAUCUAUAUCUAUAGAAUAUGUCUGCACCAAUUUAAAUUGCAUUAAAAAAAACUUGGUUAUUUUUA